rnacentral:rRNA from 1 species
ACUCCUACGGGAGGCAGCAGUGGGGAAUAUUGGACAAUGGGGGAAACCCUGAUCCAGCCAUGCCGCGUGAGUGAAGAAGGCCUUAGGGUUGUAAAGCUCUUUCGCUAGGGAAGAUAAUGACGGUACCUAGUAAAGAAGUCCCGGCUAACUCCGUGCCAGCAGCCGCGGUAAUACGGAGGGGACUAGCGUUGUUCGGAAUUACUGGGCGUAAAGAGUACGUAGGCUGUUUGUCAAGUUGGGUGUGAAAGCCCGGGGCUCAACCCCGGAACUGCACUCAAAACUGAUAGACUAGAGAUCGGAAGAGGUAAGUGGAAUUCCCAGUGUAGAGGUGAAAUUCGUAGAUAUUGGGAAGAACACCAGUGGCGAAGGCGGCUUACUGGUCCGACACUGACGCUGAGGUACGAAAGCGUGGGGAGCAAACAGGAUUAGAUACCCUGGUAGGAUAGCG